rnacentral:rRNA from 1 species
GACGAACGCUGGCGGCAUGCCUAAUACAUGCAAGUCGAGCGAACAGAUGAAGUGCUUGCACUUCUGACGUUAGCGGCGAACGGGUGAGUAACACGUAAGGAAUCUACCUAUAAGCGGGGGAUAACAUUCGGAAACGGGUGCUAAUACCGCAUAAUAUCUUCUUCCGCAUGGAAGAAGAUUGAAAGACGGCUCUGCUGUCACUUAUAGAUGACCUUGCGGUGCAUUAGUUAGUUGGUGGGGUAAUGGCCUACCAAGACGAUGAUGCAUAGCCGACCGGAGAGGGUGAUCGGCCACAUUGGGACUGAGACACGGCCCAAACUCCUACGGGAGGCAGCAGUAGGGAAUCUUCCGCCAUGGGCGAAAGCCUGACGGAGCAAUGCCGCGUGAGUGAAGAAGGCCUUCGGGUCGUAAAACUCUGUUAUAAGAGAAGAACAAAUUGUAGAGUAACUGCUACAGACUUGACGGUAUCUUAUCAGAAAGCCACGGCUAACUACGUGCCAGCCGCCGCGGUAA